rnacentral:lncRNA from 1 species
UCUCUCUCUCUCUCUCUCUCUCUCUCUCUCUCUCUCUCUCUCUCAGUUUAAAAAAUUGUAAACAAAAUUUGGACAUUGAUCCUUGCUCAUCUCCUUGAGUCAAAUAAUUCAUUGUGUUGAGAUCCUUGUUAGAUAGGUCACUCUCCUUUAGUUGAGCAUUCUUGUAAAAAUUGUUGCGAGUCUCACUCUCUCUCUACUCUUCUCCAAACUUUGCAUCGCACAAACAGCAGCGCAAUAAACAGGCCCUUAUAAGUCAAGGAGCCAAGUCCAAUAGAAACAGGCACGAUGGUAUAUGAUUUUCAAUUUUCAAGCUUGGCCUUUUUUGAGACUCAGAGAGCUUGUAUCUAAUGCUGGCAAAUCAAUCUAUUACUGAGCUUCUAUUAUUUUUGGCUGGCUUAGAAUUCAGAAAAAAGGAAGACGGAAAGGGUGCUGUUGGCAUAUGGACACUUCCGUAGGUGUAGAGGUAAGGUGCCUUUCAAAUUUUAUCAUGGUAUAUAGCUUUGAUGUAAAAUGUUUUUAAGAUUAUUUCAAAAUCUAUUUUUAUAUCUAAUUAUAAAAGUUUAAAUUUCAAAAAUAGUUAAAAUCAAGUAGAUUUAUUAACAUAUGAAAAUUUUGAAAACGGACGGUGUAGAUAAUAUAGUGUAAAAUGUACUAUUUUUUAGAGUUAAAAUCUUUGUAUUUUUCGAUGUUGAGAUGAUCAAUCAAAGGAUUUUUCAACAUUAAAAAAUUCCAAUGGAUUUUUGAGGGGCAUCCGUAGUUCUACAAGGUAGCAUCCUUAUAUAAACUUGCUCUUUUAUUUAAGCAAAAGCAAAAUAAAAUUUUCCUUCCAUCUCAUUCUCUUACCUACUCAUCUCUCUCUCCUUAAAAUAUAAGCAAAAGCAAAAUAAAUAUUGAUUUUCUUUCUAUCUCAAUUUCUUACGUACUCAUCUUCCUCUCUUUAAAAUAUGAAAACCUAUUUUUUCACCUUGAUUUUCUCUUCAUCUUUCUCUCACAAUUUUCUCUACAUGUUCUCUCUAUCACGUAUCUCUCUUCCCCUCUCCCUCUCUCCCUUAAAAGAUAGGGAUUAAAGUUAAGAUAGGCACCUGAAGUUUUUUUAUGGCAAAGGUUUUUAGGCUUUCCAUACAAUAUAGAAGUUUUAUUCUCUUUUUAUCAUCCAGCAGUCCAAUUUUGAUUAAGAGAGCCACUUACCGUAUGAUCUUAUAUCCGAUGUCAAAGUUUUUUAUUUUUGGUUUUUUUUAUACAACUUGUAUGAAUAUGAAAUUUGGUAGGUGUCACCUUCUCAUUGGGGUGCACCUAUAAAAACUAUUAAAAAUAAUUUUUCGAUAAAAUAUAAUUUGAUGUGAAAAUAGUUUGUAGAAAAAAUUUUUUAAAUAAAAUAGUAUAAAGAUGUGACAUUGUGAUUGGGACAAUCUUAGCCCUCCAUUCAGAAUGGACAGUUGGAUAAGGGAAAUGAUAGAACUUCUAUGCUACAGGGAAAGCAUAGAAAGCUUGCCUUUUUAUUAUCAUUUAGAAGUUUUAGAGAUAGGGUUCUAUUUUAUUUUUGUGACAUGUAGUCGUCCCUUAAUUUGGGCUUAAUUGAUCAUGGAUAUCUUGUAUACCGAGAAUAAUAAAUAAUAGAUAUCUUGCAUACCGAGAAAAUUAAUGCAGGUAAAUAUGUGCAAAAUAGAAAAAGUAAAGGUGGGCUUUUUGUAUUCAUUGGGUGGUUGUUUUAGAGAGAGAAAAACAAUGUUUUAAGGGUUGUGAGAGAGUGGUAAACUCGACUCCUCAUGCUUGCACAUUUUUCUCGUUAGUAGAAAACAAGUUUGAUGCCUCGUUAACAUAAGCAAUUGUCGAACUUAAUAUUUAUUUUUCCACUUUUUUAAUUUAAUUUUGUACACAAAUUCUCUUCUUUUUUAUUUUUAAAAAAUGUAUACAAUGAUACCGUUUAUUUUUUAAACAAAGAAGUCACAAUCAUCAUUGACCAUUAAAUUUAAAAUCGGGGAGGUUCAGGAUGUGUCAUUGUUUAGGCAUAAGUCCAAAAUAAAAAUUUUUAAAUGUUGCGACACUUUCAUCUAUUGGAUUUUACAUCCAAUGGCUAAAAAUGCUUGACACUACCUUGUAUCAAAAAUAAAAAGUCCCAUAGUAUAUAAUACUUUAUUUUGACUCUAAACUUAUUUUUUUCCUCGGGAGAAGUGUGUCGUCCUUCCAUUCAAGCUUAUUGAACAACGAGACUAUGUCCAUCCUCAAGAACUUGGAAACAAGAGUUUUCACAAACUUGCCAAGCUUUUUUUCAUCAUCUUUGAAUCUUUUGAGACCUUUCAUCUAUUGGAUUUCACAUCCACUUUCAUCUAUAGGAUUUCACAUCCAAUAGCUAAAAAUGCUUGAGACUGCCUUGUAUCAAAAAUAAAAAUUCUCAGAGUAUAUAAUACUUUAUUUUGACUCUAAACUUAUUUUUUAUCCUCGGGAGAAGUGUGUCGUCCUUCCAAUUCAAGCUUAUUGAGCAACGAGAUCAUGUCCAUCCUCAAGAACUUGAAGACAUGAGUUUUCACAAACUUGCCGAGCUUUUUUUCAUCGUCUUUGAAUCUUUUGAGAUCUUUCAUUUAUUGGAUUUCACAUCCACUUGCAUCUAUUGGAUUUCACAUCCAAUGGCUAAAAAUGCUUGACACUGCCUUGUUUCAAAAUAAAAAGUCUUAUAGUAUAUAAUACUUUAUUUUGACUCUAACUUAUUUUUAUCCUCAAGAGAAGUGUGUCGUCCUUCCAUUCAAACUUAUUGAGCAACGAGACCAUGUCCAUCCUCAAGAACUUGGAGACAUGAGUUUUCACAAACUUGCCGAGCUUUUUUUCAUCGUCUUUGAAUCUUUUGAGACCUAAAAUUACAAAGAAAGAGCCUCUUCUCCUAUUAGUUUCUUCCCUCCAUUGAGGUCCACUAGGGGAUUCGAACCUCGUCAAGGUUGAACUUUAUAUGUUAAGACUAACUGGAAGGGUAUUCCAACACAUGUGGUUUAUAUUUGAGGCAUUAAUAUAGUUAAAUAAAAAACAUGAUGUACAACCUACUUCUAAAACUUUCAUCGCUCAUAGGGCGAGGCUGAGUUACUCUGCCGAGUCCGAAAGGCCUUGACCAAGUCUUAAAACGCUGAGCAUAUCACUACGAACCCUAAGAAUAGUUAGCCAUGAUUCAUCAAAUGUGUUAGGAUUUAAGAAUCCUCUUAGAUGCCGAAACGGGAAUCCCAAAAGUUGGAUGCUACCAACAUCGUGUACUUAUCCAACUAGAAACAAAAUAGAAGAGAGCACGAGCCAUAAUACGAGCAAUAAAGCAUGAAAUACACACGUCAGAAAGAGACACAUCUCUAUUCCACAACUAAACCAUUGUCCAAUAAGAGACCCUUGAUAGCAAUUGAGACUUUCUCUCACUUAAAGAGGAAACCACCCAAAAUCUUCAUGGGAAAUUCUUCUUUUCAAGAAAUCAGCAUCUCAAUCUACAUGAGAUACAUCCAUAGUGUUUCUCUCCACAUAAAGCUCUCUUCUCUCAAAAGAGAGGCCUUGCCAAUGAUGCAGAGGAGGCUCUGCUUUUCGAUUUAAAGGAAGUUACCUUUCCCUCUCUUUAGAGGAAGUCACCUUUCCCAUUUCGUGACCAAAAUAGGGCACACAUAGUCUUUAAUCUUUCAUCCCAAAUAUAUAAGAUUAGGACUCCAUACUAAAUAGGAAACUUCCUAUAAAUGGUACAUAUAUCUCAAAAUCAGGAGAUAUACACAAGAGUAUUAAUCUUAUUUGAUUCCUAUUUUCUUUAGGAAACUUAUUAAUAUCAAUGCAUCCCACAUAAUAUGUUAUUUCCUUAUCUGUGUGAUUUUGGAUACACCAUAUCUAACAAUCUCCACCUUGAUUAAAAUCACUUGCUCACCAUGCCAACAUCCAUUAUAUAUCCAUUAGAUAACUUUAUGAAUUCUUCAUCUUUUGUCAAACAAAUUAUUUUAUCUUUAUUGCGGGUAAACAGUGCUUUCAAUAAAACAUUCGCAUACUUUGUCAUGUGUUUUUCGUUAAACAAAUGCACAAACUCUAGCUUUGUAAUGAACUAUUGGCUAUGAUAUCAAUUGGGGGAUCAAAACCAAGGUUUGGCAAAAAUAAGAGAAAGAAAAAUAGCACAGAAAAGUAAAAGAAUAAAGGCACAAAAAUUUAUGUAGUUUGACAAGUUGCCUACGUCUACAGGAUAGCAAAGUUCUUUUCCAUUAAUAAAAAAAUACUAUGCAAGCAUGGAGAAUACAAGUGAAUACAAGCUAUCUCUCUCUCUUUCUCUCUCUCUCUCUCUCNNNNUCUCUCUCUCUCUCUCUCUCUCUCUNNNNNNNNNNNNNNNNNNNNNNNNNNNNNNGUAGUCUACGUACUACACGAGUAGUACAAGUUACUUUACUUACUUAAUAAAAAUAAACUAAUAGCAGACAUAGAGAAGUAACUAACGUAGUAAUACAACACUACUCUCUCUCUCUUCUCUCUCUCUCUCUCUCUCUCUCUCUCUCUCUCUCUCUUUCUCUCUCUCUCUCUAUCUCUCAAAAGCCCUAAAACAUGGUCUUUUUCUCACUAGAAUACCCACCCAAAUACUAAAAAAAUGAACCAUUUUCUCUCUCUUAUUUGCAUCUCACUUUUUUCAUGUGUAUUUUUCUCUCUACAAAACUCUAUUUAUAAAGAGUAACCCAUUAGAGCCCAACAUAAUUCUUUCUCCUAUUUUGAUUACGUCGCCGAUUUCCCAUAGUUUUCCUAUAUCUAAUAGGAGUUAAGAAAUGUUUUGUCUCCCAUUACGAUCCACCUGAUUUCCAUAUCUAAAUCAUAAGAUCUUCUUAAGGAUAAGGAAUACAUCAACACCCUCAAAAUAAGGAAACUACCCAAGAAUAUUGCGUACCACCUUUUCCCAUAUCCAUAUGGUUUCAACUCCUAUAAAAUAGGAUUAUCAUAUAUAUGAGAAAUCUAGGUAGUUAUUAAAUAUGUGAAGUUCUCUAAAAAUAGGAAACAAGGGCUUCAUGUACAAUAUUGUCCCACUUGAAGACAUGUUUUCAUUCUAACUAGUCCACUCCAAGAAACCUCUGCACAUCAGUUACUAAUUAUCAAGUAACCACAAGCCUUGAGGAAGUCCUGCAGCAAGUGAACUCUGCCUUCCCAAUGGGCUUAAGCAACAAAUAUGUUGGAUUGUCAUCAAUAUGAAAUUUUUGCAAUAAAUUAUUUUCAUCUUCUACCACAUCAUGAAUAAAAUGAUAUUGAACAUUAAUAUGUUUGGUUAUAUCAUGGAAGGUUAGAUUUCUUGCUAGAAACUGUAAAGAUUAUCAGUACCAAUAAUAUUCAGUUUCUCCCUAUUUGCGGUGAUAAUCUGACCAUGACCUUGGUAUGGUUUAGUAGAUUGUGGACUUGUGUGCACUCCAGUCAUAUGAUUAGAGACACCCAAUUCAAUAAACCAAAGGGGAUUUACACUAGGGGAUAGGUGAGAGUUCAUACUAGAUAAACUCAUAGCAUAGAAAGCAGAAGAGAUAGCCGUAGACACAGAGUUUUGUACCAAUUGUCGAAUAUCAUUUGAUAUAGUUGAUAUCUGGGACACUGUCAUAUUUGGGUCAUGAAUAGUACUUGAUGGGGGUCUCUACCAUUAGUCCCUUAGAUGCAUCAUAAGCAACUUGGUAUGCCUUGUAAAAAGGUUUCCGUGUAUCUAAUGCCUGGUUGCUUCGUUGAGAACGAUCGCGAUACUCUGUGAUAAUAUACCCAAGACGUUUGCAGUAAGUACAAAAAAAUUUCUUCUUGCAAUGGGAUGCAAUAUGACCAUACUCUUUACAUUCAUAACAUUGCAGCAAAGAUGAACCCUUUUGUGAUGGUUUUUCUCCAGCUCACUGAGCCACAAGGACAUACUCUAUAUCCUUCUUUCCCUUAAUGGUGGCCUGUGUCGUAAUUCUUGUCUUCACACGAAUAAAGUCACCCAUAAUGGCAUCCAUAUUGGCUAAUGUUUCGCGAUUCAAAAUAUUGGUUCGAAUAAUCUCAUAUUAUGGGCGCAACUUCAUUAGAAGCUGCAUCACUUUCCUGUCAUCAUUUAUCUCCUUUAAGCUUGUAAUGCAAUUCUUCGUGAACAUUUGAAAGAGACAGUAUAUAUGCGACCUCUUCUUGGGUAUUGCCAUGAUAAAUUUAUGGUAUGUCACUUGAAAAAAUCCUGCGAAUCUAAUAUAUGUGGGACAACUUGUCGAUGACGGUUACAGUGUUUAAUUUUCUUGUGAUGGUUGUGUAAUACAGGACCUACGCACUGCAGAGUGAAAGAAAAGGGGCAUAGAAUUGGUCGUUUGUUUGCCUUAGAGUUUGAAAAACUAAACCGUGAUGCUCAUUUAUUUUUUCCAUCGAAUUCUGUUAUUUUUGUUUCUGAUAAAUAAUUACAUAUGUGGCAUCGGAGACUUGGUCAUCCGAAUACAAAUAAAUUAGAUACUUUGUUUCGUUCUGGUUCAUUGCCC